rnacentral:misc_RNA from 1 species
GAUGAAGAACGCAGCGAAAUGCGAUUAGUAGUGUGAAUUGCAGAAUUCAGUGAAUCAUCGAAUCUUUGAACGCACAUUGCGCCCCUUGGUAUUCCAUGGGGCAUGCCUGUUCGAGCGUCAUUUGUACCCUCAAGCUCUGCUUGGUGUUGGGUGUUUGUCUCGCGGUUCUGCGCAGACUCGCCUUAAAACAAUUGGCAGCCGGCUUGUUAGCCUGGAGCGCAGCACAUAUUGCGCCUCUUGCUAGCGACUGCCCGGCACCCAUCAAGCCCAUUUAUUUGCUCUUGACCUCGGAUCAGGUAGGGAUACCCGCUGAACUUAAGCAUAUCAAUAAGCGGAGGA